UUCAAUUUUUUACUUUUUUUUUUGCUUUGUAUUGAUCUUGCGUGUGUACAAAUGAGAAGCAAAAGAGAAAAAGGAAAAAAUCCCCCCUGUUACAGGUUUUUGAAAGGCUUUCUUAUAGCCCCCUCGAAACAAAAAUGAAAAAAAUACAAAACUCCUUUUUUCUUUUAUUUUUCUCUACUUUUCUCUUGUUGUUUGUUUGUGUGUCUGUUGCAGGUACGGAGCCAGCCUAGCACUGAGGUGCACUUGUGGCUCAGAUGCAGUGCAUUGCGGGCGGUUGGUGGCGCGCGGAUGUGCUAGAGUUGCUGACUGUUGCGGCGUCAAAAGAAUCUAGAAACCCUAAAGGUUUCUGGAAAUAUUUGGGCCAUUUGGGCCAGUAUAGCUGGGUCUUGUCUAAGUUUAGUAUU
rnacentral:lncRNA from 1 species